UACGUAGGGUGCGAGCGUUGUCCGGAAUUAUUGGGCGUAAAGGGCUCGUAGGCGGUUUGUCACGUCGGGAGUGAAAACUCAGGGCUUAACCCUGAGCCUGCUUCCGAUACGGGCAGACUAGAGGUAUGCAGGGGAGAAUGGAAUUCCUGGUGUAGCGGUGAAAUGCGCAGAUAUCAGGAGGAACACCGGUGGCGAAGGCGGUUCUCUGGGCAUUACCUGACGCUGAGGAGCGAAAGCAUGGGGAGCGAACAGG
rnacentral:rRNA from 1 species